ensembl:miRNA
GAAGGUGUGAAGUCAGCAAACCCUUCACCCUGCCGUGUUCCCUUCAUGCCAGGCAGGGUUAUUGGUUUUGUGUGACAUCGCAUCUC